GACAGAGGGUGCAAACGUUGUUCGGAAUUACUGGGCGUAAAGCGCGUGUAGGCGCCCAGCAAGUCGGAUGUGAAAGCCCUGGGCUUAACCUAGGAAGUGCAUUCGAAACUGCUGGGCUUGAGUUCUGGAGAGGAAGGCGGAAUUCUCGGUGUAGAGGUGAAAUUCGUAGAUAUCGAGAGGAACACCGGUGGCGAAGGCGGCCUAC
rnacentral:rRNA from 1 species